rnacentral:rRNA from 1 species
UACGAAGGGGGCUAGCGUUGCUCGGAUUGACUGGGCGUAAAGGGCGCGUAGGCGGUUCGUACAGUCAGACGUGAAAUUCCUGGGCUCAACCUGGGGGCUGCGUUUGAUACGUGCGGACUUGAGUGCGGAAGAGGGUCGUGGAAUUCCCAGUGUAGAGGUGAAAUUCGUAGAUAUUGGAAGGAACACCGGUGGCGAAGGCGGCUCUCUGGACGAUUAUUGACGCUGAGGCGCGAAAGCGUGGGGAUCAAACAGG